rnacentral:misc_RNA from 1 species
AGAUAAGUGGAGUAACAUAGAGAAGGAUAGAAAAUACCGUGUGAGACGUUGGAACGUUGCGAAGUAUAAGGCAACGUGGCGAGCGCGACUGCACUGGCAAGAGGCGAACGUACGGACCGUCGGACGGACGGAGCACGCCGGGUAUACGCGAGCGAGCGAGCGAGAGGUGAAGUCUAAGUGAGGGAAGUGAGUGCGGAGUAUAGUCGAAAGCGAAGAUCGGAGGAAGAGGAGAACCGGAGGAGAGAGAGACCCAUUCAUCUUGACGCGCCUAGCAUGCCUGUGAUUGGUCCACCUUGAGUAAGGCCACGCCACGAUUGGACGGUUCUGUUUACCAGCUGGUUCCCCAGCGCGCUCCUGCCUCGUAGAGGAGAGGGGUGAACAGAACGGAGAGACAAGCGGCGCCAUUAUUGUAAGGGGUUACAUUUAGCUGGCCGUGGGUUGUAGUACGCGGCGUUCGGGAUAGGGGGCUAUAGUACCUUCAUGCAUGGCCCAUAAAGGAUUCGUCGACUAUCCGAGAAGUACGCAAGAAACGGCUUCUAACACCUGACAGGGGCCACGCUCUUCUCGUCUCUCUCCUCGUGCCGUCGCCGGCUACGCCGUCGCCUAAUUUUGCAAGCUGGGACCCACGACCGGACCGACCGGGGUGGGCCUGAUUGAAGAAGGACCUACCGAAUUACUUUAUCGUCGAUUCUCAUUCUGAUACACGGAUGGAUUUGUAAUCGGAAGAUGCGAUUACGUUGAAGCGCGCGGAACCAAUGCUCCGAAUGCGAAGAAUCGCGAUUGGUGGCUCCUAACUCCGAGAUCGAGAGGAGGGACAUGUCAUUUACCGUCGCGGACAGUCGAUGAUUCGUGGUCAGUCGUCCCCAGUGACCGCAUCCCGCCGCGUUUCGGUAUUGUUGUUGUGAUAAUGUGCUGAGUUGCGUAAGUGGCAGUAAAAGUGGACGUUGAUUGCUGAUAGGGAAGAAGAUAGAUAGUGGACGCGGGAAGCGAUAAAGCAAAUAGAAAAGAUUUUCUGCCGAGUAGAGAGAAAGUGUUACGCGUUCUUCCACAACGACGACGAUAUUUACGGCUUGAAUCGAGAAAACAGUGCGAUCACGAUCCGUGCGAAGACGGAUUAUGGCGGUGAGGCAGCAGCCGGUGGACGUGCCGUCACGGUGUCGGUGUUGAGACACUCGUCCCGGUCAUCCGGCCCGGGCGUGUCUUCGGCAUCAGCUCCGCAUCGGCACCGACACGAGGCGAUAUGAGUACGAAAUUCAUAAUUGAUAGUAUGCUACCUGCUAAGUACCAGCAAUUCCACCCGCAACAAUUAUUCUCAAGCGCAAAUCCAGGUACAAUUCAGUGCACAACGAGUCCGGCUACCGCGAGCCUAGAAUCGAGUUUAUCCGCGGCUGCAGUAGCGGCCGCGGCGGUCAAUUACGCGCAGCAGCACAAUUCACCGAGCCCGACGGGUUCGAGUCCACAGCACUCAGGAAGCUCCGCUUCGACCUCACCGGCGGCGCGUACCACGUCCAGUAUGUAUCCCUACGUAUCCGCCGCAGCGGCGCAUCAUCAUCAUCAGCAACAGCAGGCGGUUGCGGCCGCCGCGUUCGGCGCCACGUCUAGCAUGGUGCCCGGUUUCGGAUCCUCAGCGGCAUCCAGCGCUGCCCUAGCUGCAGCCGCCGCUGUGGAUGCCGCGACUGCCGGCGACAAAUCCUGCCGUUACACAGCUAGUCUCACCGGUAAUGUCGCACCUACAUCGGCCGAUCCUAUGGUUAACUAUACUCUCGGUCAUCAUCAUCAGAACGGUGCUACGCCCGGUAGCCUCGUUUCGUCCGCGUCUGCUUCUUCGGCCGUGUCGGCCGCAUCGGCCUCCAUGGCAGCGGCGGCACAAUUCUACCACCAAGCGGCUGCAGCAUCGGCCGUUGUCGAUCCCUUGACAUCCUGCCAGCAACCUACCACCGGUCAACCCGGAAUCUCGGACAUACCUCGCUAUCCAUGGAUGUCGAUUACAGAUUGGAUGAGUCCAUUUGACAGAGUAGUGUGCGGUCCGAACGGUUGUCCAAGGCGCAGAGGCCGACAGACGUACACGCGGUUCCAAACAUUGGAAUUAGAAAAAGAGUUUCACUUUAACCAUUACCUGACGCGACGACGACGAAUAGAGAUCGCGCACGCGCUCUGUCUGACGGAACGACAGAUCAAGAUUUGGUUUCAAAAUCGACGAAUGAAGCUGAAAAAGGAGUUGAGGGCGGUGAAAGAGAUCAACGAGCAAGCCAGACGCGAGCGUGAGGAGCAAGACAUGAUGAAGAAACAGCAGGCGGAGAAACAGGCCAAGUUGCAGCAGGAGCAGCAGAACGCCGCUCUCCAGCAUCAGCAACAACAUCACGUAAGCGGCCUGGAAAAGACGCAAAGCGAUCUUCUGAAGGCAGUCAGUAAGGUACCAACAUAGGAUACCUUACUGAGCCGACUCUCUUUCUUUUAAGGAAGACACAAGAGACUGGAGCGGCCUGGAUGAAGACGCCGAAGCGAAGUAGUCGGUAAGGUGUUCGGCCACGUAGAAGAUCCUGAGUUCACUUCCUCUCAUCUUCGCACGCGACGAGACAGGUACGAAAAAAAAAACAUGGAAACUGAGGCGAGGGUCUCCGCAAUCUUCUUCGAGUCGGUGAGCCGAUGGUUGCGCGAGCAGAGGACUUGGCAGCUGCGAUCGUCGGUUUUGCAUCGAGAGGGAGAAGAUAGCGAGAUCUGGGAGGCCUGGAAGAUAUACAGAGCGGUCUUCUCUGGACGGAUAAGAAAGACAAAAAAAUCUCGAGGCAUAGAGAAUGAACGCACCCCACCCCAACUACGUACUUACUUGGUUGACCCCCGAAAGGCGACACGCGAACGUUCGCACGGGGGCUCAGCCUGUGACUGAUUCCUAGAACGUAUAAUGUAUAUUGUUAAUCGGGUGCUACACAAUGAGCCAUCGCGAUUAUCAAGCGAUGAACGCAUGAAUUGGCGCGAUACUGCCAUGGAGAGCCAAUAAUUACGUCGAGGCGGUGAGUAGACUAAUUAAACGGAUCGAAACUGAAAGAUUAAUGGUCGUAUAACCAACCGAAUAAUGAACGAUGACAUUACGAUUAAUUGAUCGAGCCUUGAGGGAAGAGAAGGUAGACGAAUCAAAUUGUACAAGCGAAUCGGCGUUCAGUUGCAAGACGAUGAAGAAAUCAGGGGAGCAAAUUAAGGAUUUAGCUAAUCUUCAAUUCAUCGCUUACAUCGUGAACGUGUGAAUUUUGAAGAUUUAGCUAUAUUCUCUCUGUUGUAACAUGCAUCGUCAUUUCGAAGGAAGAAAUCCAACGAGACUGUUCAAAAAAACAGAGUCGUUAUUUCCGACGCUGAAACGUUCCGCUUCCUUCGUACGAC